rnacentral:rRNA from 1 species
GAUGAACGCUAGCUACAGGCUUAACACAUGCAAGUCGCGGGGCAGCAUGGGGGUUGCUUGCAAUCCCCGAUGGCGACCGGCGCACGGGUGAGUAACGCGUAUUCAACCUGCCCUUCACCACGGGAUAACCCGGCGAAAGUCGGACUAAUACCGUAUGUUGUCCAUUGACGGCAUCCGAUUUGGACGAAAGGCUUGGCGGUGAGGGAUGGGGAUGCGUCCGAUUAGCCAGACGGCGGGGUAACGGCCCACCGUGGCUACGAUCGGUAGGGGUUCUGAGAGGAAGGUCCCCCACACUGGAACUGAGACACGGUCCAGACUCCUACGGGAGGCAGCAGUGAGGAAUAUUGGUCAAUGGGCGUAAGCCUGAACCAGCCAAGCAGCGUGCAGGAUGACGGCCCUAUGGGUUGUAAACUGCUUUUAUGCGGGGAUAAAGUGGCCCACGUGUGGGCUUUUGCAGGUACCGCAUGAAUAAGGACCGGCUAAUUCCGUG